UACGUAGGGUGCGAGCGUUAAUCGGAAUUACUGGGCGUAAAGCGUGCGCAGGCGGGCUUUUAAGCCAGACGUGAAAUCCCCGGGCUUAACCUGGGAAUGGCAUUUGGGACUGCAAGGCUUGAGUGCGGCAGAGGAGACUGGAAUUCCUGGUGUAGCAGUGAAAUGCGUAGAUAUCAGGAGGAAUACCGAUGGCGAAGGCAGGUCUCUGGGCUGACACUGACGCUCAUGCACGAAAGCGUGGGGAGCAAACAGG
rnacentral:rRNA from 1 species